GCCAGCAGCCAUAUCACCCUGCAACUCACAACUGAACAACCCACUGAAGCUAAGCAGGUGUGAAGCUGGUCAGUACCUGGAUAGGAGACCUCCUGAGAAAAACUAAGGUUGCUGCUGGAA
rfam:Lepisosteus oculatus linkage group LG9, whole genome shotgun sequence.